rnacentral:rRNA from 1 species
UACGUAGGGUGCAAGCGUUGCCCGGAUUUAUUGGGCGUAAAGGGCGCGUAGGCGGCUCGGCACGUCCGUUGUGAAAUCGCCCGGCUCAACUGGGCGGGGUCAGCGGAUACGGUCGAGCUUGAGCAAGCUAGGGGGCAAUGGAAUUCCCGGUGUAGUGGUGAAAUGCGUAGAUAUCGGGAGGAACACCGGUGGCGAAGGCGGUUCUCUGGGCCUGUUCUGACGCUGAGGAGCGAAAGCGUGGGGAGCAAACAGG